rnacentral:rRNA from 1 species
AUUGAACGCUGGCGGCAUGCCUUACACAUGCAAGUCGAACGGCAGCACGGGAGCAAUCCUGGUGGCGAGUGGCGAACGGGUGAGUAAUAUAUCGGAACGUGCCCAGUCGUGGGGGAUAACGCAGCGAGAGCUGUGCUAAUACCGCAUACGAUCUAUGGAUGAAAGCGGGGGAUCGCAAGACCUCGCGCUAUUGGAGCGGCCGAUGUCAGAUUAGGUAGUUGGUGAGGUAAAGGCUCACCAAGCCUUCGAUCUGUAGCUGGUCUGAGAGGACGACCAGCCACACUGGGACUGAGACACGGCCCAGACACCUACGGGAGGCAG